AGAAGGGCAUUAAUGGGACCAGCACCCUACCCCCACCAAAGGCACCCAAGAGUCAUUUGCUCCAUGUUCAGAUUUUACCUCUCUUCUCCUUUCUCUAUCUCACCUACCACAGGAAGAGCAAAAGAAACACUAUUUCACAUCCAUCCAGACACUUUCUUCAUGCAAGCAUAGAAGGAAAGCUGAGGACCUCACAUUGGGAAGGUCUAUAGGGGUCUAGUGGCAUCAUACACAGGAUCCUAAUCAUUUUGUAGACUUCCUAUUUUGGGAGACGUUCAGGAAGAUGAGAAUCGGUAAGAUAGGUUGCAUCAAGCACCAACAUCACUGAAGGGUUUCUUGGGAGAACUAGUGCAACCCAUCAGCUUUAUCGCAUUGCCUGUAAUAGCAGGAGCUGGGCAGGCAUCAACGACGAUGAUUGUAACAGUUUGCCAGAAAUUCAAUGGAGGAAUUUCUUUAGAUUUUAGGAAUCUCGUGAAAACUUGAAUGUUUUUACGAAUUAACCCAAUUGUGUCAGCAUAGUUAGUGUUGCUACUCACUAUGGUGCCAUAAGCGUAAUUUUAUUUAUUUAAAGUACUUAAAAGCGUGAGAAUGAGAAAUGGUCUACGCCAUUCUAUUUGUAUGAAUAUUUAAGAUUUUGUGGCGUAAUAAAACCAUUUUUGAUUUCAAGAGUAACGCUUGUUCGAAAA